CCUACGGGGGGCAGCAGUGGGGAAUAUUGCACAAUGGGGGAAACCCUGAUGCAGCAACGCCGCGUGAAGGAAGAAGGUUUUCGGAUUGUAAACUUCUGUUCUUAGUGAAGAAUAAUGACGGUAGAUAAGGAGCAAGCAACGGCUAAAUACGUGGCAGCAGCCGCGGUAAUACGUAGGGGGCAAGCGUUGUCCGGAAUUACUGGGUGGAAAGGGAGCGCAGGCGGGAAGCCAAGUCAGCUGUGAAAACUACGGGCUUAACUUGUAGACUACAGUUGAUACUGGUUUUCUUGAGUGAAGUAGAGGUUGGCAGAAUUCCGAGUGUAGCGGUGAAAUGCGUAGAUAUUCGGAGGAACACCGGUGGCGAAGGCGGCCAACUGGGCUUUAACUGACGCUGAGGCUCGAAAGUGUGGGGAGCAAACAGGAUUAGAUACCCUUGUAGUC
rnacentral:rRNA from 1 species